UUAACCUUUUGGAAACUUCUGCAGCUUGCACAAUGCACAGGCCAGGUGGGCCGUUGCCUAGAGACGGACCCUUACCCAAUGCACAGGCCAGGUGGGCCGUUGCCUAGAGACGGACCCUUACCCAAUGCACAGGCCAGGUGGGCCGUUGCCUGGAGACGGACCCUUACCCAAUGCACAGGCCAGGUAGGCCGUUGCCUGGUGACGGACCCUUACCCAAUGCACAGACCAGGUAGGCCGUUGCCUGGAGACAGACCUCUGCCCCGCCUCCUCCAAUUCACCUGAGAGCAAUAUUCACUUUUGAUCAAUGGCUGGAUGACAGGCACGCAAAUGUUCUCGAGGGCAGGGG